CUUGCUUCUGUUAUCAUAGUUGAGCAAUCAUUGUUUUAGUAUAGUAGAUGUUGUGCGUAAAGAUCUUAAAGUGUGAUGAGCUUAUUAUAAUUUGAUUGAGUUUAUUAUCAUUUUGGAAUAUCACUGUAAUUGUUUUUCUGUGAUUGUAUUCUUAUAGCAACGGAUGUUAGUGAUAAAACACAAAUAUUUUUGUAUUAGUAUCUGGUGUGAUAUAGUUUUCAAUAUAUCCUUUCGUGCAUAGCUAAAUUGUAUUAAAUUUUUGUCAUUUGGUUUCAUGAUAUAUACAAUGGUGGAGAGGCACAGAAAAAACAAAGGUUUACAACCGAAGAAGAGCAUUACCAUACUUCUGAAAAGAAGAUGCAUAUUGAAGAAUGAAGAAUUUAUGUUAUUGACCCAGGUUGUGUUCUAAGAAACUGGGAAGAUGGCCAUGACAAUUUCCAGCGGAGUCCACACCAAUGGGCGCUCCAACCACUAUUCUUCUAAUUUUGACAAUAUAGCCCCUCUUAACUCUUCCUAGUUACAUCAGCAACGUCAUGUGGCAUGUGGAGUUUAUCUUAUAGUUAAUUAAGAAAAGAGUAUAUUCUACAGCAAACAACAUGUUGAUAUGGCCGAGUUGGUCUAAGGCGCAGGAUUAAGGUUCCUGUCCGAAAGGGCGUGGGUUCAAAUCCCACUGUCAACAGUUUACUUUUUAUAUUCCAUGUGUUCAUGUAUCACGGUGUGGGACUUGCUUAUUCUAUUGAUGUGGCAUUUCGGAUUCUGAGGUUUGAUUUGUGAUUUUCCCUUUUCUUUGGGAGAUGAACACAUCAUCAACAAAAACAAAG